rnacentral:rRNA from 1 species
CCUACGGGUGACAGCAGUGAGGAAUAUUGGUCAAUGGGCGCGAGCCUGAUCCAGCCAAGUAGCGUGAAGGAUGACUGCCCUCCGGGUUGUAAACUUCUUUUAUAAAGGAAUAAAGUGAGGCACGUGUGCCUUUUUGUAUGUACUUUAUGCAUAAGGAUCGGCUCACUCCGUGCCAGCAGCCGCGGUAAUACGGAGGGUCCGAGCGUUAUCCGGAUUUAUUGGGUUUAAAGGGAGCGUAGAUGGGUUGUUAAGUCAGUUGUGAAAGUUUGCGGCUCAACCGUAAAAUUGCAAUUGAUACUGGCAGGCUUGAGUACAGUUGAGGGAGGCGGAAUUCGUGGUGUAGCGGUGAAAUGCUUAGAUAUCACGAAGAACUCCGAUUGCGAAGGCAGCUUACUAAACUGCCACUGACAUUGAGGCUCGAAAGUGUGGGUAUCAAACAGGAUUAGAUACCCUGGUAGUC